rnacentral:rRNA from 1 species
GGCCCGGCACAAGCGGAGGAGCAUGUGGUUUAAUUCGAUGAUACGCGAGGAACCUUACCAAGGCUUAAAUGUAAUAUGACCGGUUGAGAGAUCAACCUUUUUUCGAACAGAUUACAAGGUGCUGCAUGGUUGUCGUCAGCUCGUGCCGUGAGGUGUCGGGUUAAGUCCCAUAACGAGCGCAACCCCUAUUUUUAGUUACCAGCGAGUAAUGUCGGGAACUCUAGAAAAACUGCCUGUGCAAACAGAGAGGAAGGUGGGAUGACGUCAAAUCAUCACGGCCCUUAUGUCUUGGGCUACACACGUGCUACAAUGGUUACUACAAUGUGAUGCCAUCUGGUGACAGAGAGCUAAUCAAUAAAGGUAAUCUC